CUCCGCCCUCAGCCCCAGCUUGGGGCUGGACCCCAGCCUCCAGCCUCACCUCCUGCCGGCCUCUCUGCUUGCCCUCCCCGCCCCAGAGGGGGGGUGGGAGGCCUUGAGAUUGUCCCCGGUACCCCAAGGACGCCGAGGUUACGGGAAGUUUGGGGACUCGGGUCUUCCAGAAUGAGCCCAGUGUGGACGGGGAAACGUUGAAUACAGGGCACCCAGGAAUGGAAAAGACACCAAGGGAUGUAUCACCUCUGUAUCGAGCACCCAGGGGAACAGGCCCCAGUAUCCUGAGUUCUUCCAGGAGAAGGAAGAUGGCGAAGACAGUGAGGGAAGAGAGCAGACGUCUGACUCCGGGGUGCUUAUCUGUGUGGAAGAGACCGGUUCUUCCUGACUGGCUUCAUGUCCCUCAAGAUCCCAAAGAAGGCUAUGGCUAUUUCAAAGCCAGAGAAUAGGGGCAGAGACUCAGCAGCCUGCUCCUGGGUGCAAAGAGACAAGGCCAGGUGCAGCCUGUGCUCACAGUCUUGGAAGCUUGGUGGUGGUGGAGCCCCACUUUCUGUGUGCCUGUGUGUGCAUAUAUCUAUCUGCGCAUGUGUAUGGAGGCCAGAGGACAACCUUGACUGUCGUUCACAAAGUGCCUCUCACAUUUUGUUGUGCUGGAACUUCGCCUAAGAAGUGGGUUAAACUGGCCAGUAAGCCUCAGGAGUGCUUCCGUCUCCACCUUCUCAGUGCUGAGAUUACAAACUGGAGCCUUGUGUCUGGCCUUCAACGUGGAUUCUCAGGAUCCAAGGAUCCAACAUUGGGCUCCCAUGCUAACAAGGUGUUCUCCUGGCUCUUCAAGUAUUUACCCGUCUGUGUGUGACUCAUAUCCAGGAACCCAGGCAGCUUCCCUCAAUAGAUUGCUGGCUUCAGAAGAUGAGCCUCCCCUGCCGCUCCACAAGGCUCAAGUGCUUCAAUGAAAUAAAAGAGAACUGAAAUAAAAGA
rnacentral:lncRNA from 1 species